rnacentral:rRNA from 1 species
UACGUAGGGGGCUAGCGUUGUCCGGAAUCAUUGGGCGUAAAGAGCGUGUAGGCGGCCCGGUAAGUCCGCUGUGAAAGUCGGGGGCUCAACCCUCGAAUGCCGGUGGAUACUGUCGGGCUAGAGUGCGGAAGAGGCGAGUGGAAUUCCUGGUGUAGCGGUGAAAUGCGCAGAUAUCAGGAGGAACACCGGUGGCGAAGGCGGGUCUCUGGGCAGUAACUGACACUGAGGUGCGAAAGCGUGGGGAGCAAACAGG